GAGGGUAUAGCUCAAUGGUAGAGUGCCUGCUUAGCAUGCAUGAGGACCUGGGUUCAAUCCCCAGUACCUCCA
rnacentral:tRNA from 1 species